CACUAGAGGGCAGCAGCUUCCGCAUCCUGUGAUAUUCGUAACAGUCCGUUUGUUCAGAGAUAUCACAUACAAUGAAAUGUCAUUUAAUAAACUGAUUAUUAUGCUCGUUCAUCAACGAGCUGUUUGAAUAUUAUAAAUACUGACAUCAGGACACGAGUGAACCCGCAGGCGCGUGAGAUGAAAUGACAACGUCAACACUACAGAAAGCGAUUGAGCUGGUCACUAAAGCAACAGAGGAGGACAAAGCUAAGAACUAUGAGGAGGCACUGAGACUCUAUCAGCAUGCUGUGGAGUAUUUCCUGCACACUAUCAAGUAUGAAGCACACAGUGACAAGGCGAAGGAAAGCAUACGUGGGAAAUGUAUGCAGUAUCUGGACAGAGCUGAGAAACUGAAGGACUACCUGAAGAAUAAGGGCAAACAGGGCAAGAAACCCGUGAAGGAAAAACAGAGCAAUGACAAAAGUGACAGUGACAGUGAAGGUGAAAAUCCAGAGAAGAAGAAACUGCAGGAGCAUCUGAUGGGUGCGAUUGUGAUGGAGAAACCCAACGUCAGCUGGAAUGAUGUUGCCGGGCUGGAGGGAGCUAAAGAAGCCCUGAAAGAGGCUGUUAUUCUGCCUAUCAAAUUCCCACACUUGUUCACAGGCAAGCGUACUCCAUGGAGGGGCAUUCUUCUGUUUGGCCCUCCCGGCACAGGAAAAUCUUACCUGGCCAAAGCUGUGGCCACCGAAGCCAGUAACUCCACCUUCUUCUCUGUGUCCUCAUCUGACCUCAUGUCCAAGUGGCUUGGCGAGAGUGAGAAACUGGUGAAGAAUCUGUUUGAUCUGGCCCGUCAGCACAAGCCAUCCAUCAUCUUCAUAGAUGAGGUGGAUUCACUCUGCAGUUCCAGAAAUGAGAAUGAAAGUGAAGCUGCUCGGAGGAUCAAGACUGAGUUCCUGGUGCAGAUGCAGGGUGUUGGUAAUAAUAAUGAUGGAGUAUUAGUUCUGGGUGCUACUAACAUUCCCUGGGUACUCGAUGCUGCUAUUCGCAGAAGGUUUGAGAAGCGCAUUUACAUCCCGCUGCCAGAGGAGCCGGCGCGAACAGCCAUAUUCCGCUUGCAUCUGGGUAACACGCCUCACAACCUGACGGAGACAGACCUGCGUCAACUCGCCCGCAAGACUGACGGAUAUUCAGGUGCUGACAUCAACAUCAUAGUACGAGAUGCACUCAUGCAGCCUGUCAGGAAAGUUCAGUCUGCUACACACUUCAAGAAGGUGCGAGGACCAUCUCGCAGUAAUAGUUCAUCGGUGGUGGAUGACCUCCUGACCCCGUGCUCUCCUGGUGACCCUGAUGCCAUAGAGAUGACCUGGAUGGAUGUUCCUGGAGACAAACUACUGGAGCCUAUAGUGUGCAUGUUCCCGCCUCCUCCUUUCCCUUGAGCAAGAGAUCUUUCUGUUACACUGGUGCCGAAAACUGGGACUGGAGGAGGACCAUGCUGCUGGAUCAGGAACGUGACGCCGAGGAUACACGAUCUGGUGGUACUGGAGCAGUUUGUCAGCGGGCUACCGAUGUGGUCCGCCAGGGGGCGGAGGAGCCCGCUGCUGACCACUAGGAGGCGGAGGAGCCCGUUGCCAACCGCCAUGAGGCGGAGGAGCCCGCUGUCAAACGCCAGAAGGUGGCGGCCAAGGAACAGCUGAAUGGGAUCAUUCAGCGCUGGGCAUCCAGCCUUACGGCCCGGCCACGCCCUCCUCCUCAUCACAAGGUUAUUUACUCACUCAACCGUUGCUGAAGUGUACUCGAGCUCACAGUCUGAUAUGCUGAGCUCUCUGGCGACCACACGACCCACCGUAAACACAGAAGACCUGCUGAAGGUGAAGAAAUUCACAGAGGAUUUUGGACAGGAGGGCUGAUCCAGCAUACACACUUUCACUCCAAACAUCCAUCCAUAUGUAGCUGCCCCACUCAAGAAGAAAUAUCUACUGAAAACUAACCCGCAGGUGUGAACUCGACAAGCAUGUUAUCUCAUCUAAUGUCUCUCAUCGCCCCAUACUACAGAACAUCACAUUUCAGUUUCAUGUUAAUUGUUUGGAAAUACAAGAACGCUUUGGAGAGCCUAAACAGCUAAAGCUUGCUGUGAAUUGUUUUGUUUACAUUACAUGAUCAGAUUUCUUUAUUUUAUAAACAAUUUUGUCUGUUUGUCUCAGUAUCCACACUGACUGAUGAUCAAUAGUACAGAAUCAGUAUUUAUUUUAAUUUAUUCUUAAAAGCGUUUGAAUGGUUAAGGUUUUGUUAAGAUGUGUUACUCUAGUGACUUUAUUGUAUCUGUUGUGUCCAGCUCAGUAUUGCAGCACUUUAUUUAAUGGUCUGUGUGAAUGGCACAAAAACAUUUCCAGGUCACAUUUAACCCCAAAAUCAAAAUAAAAACAACUAAAUUGUAUUUUUGGGAUCAUCGGUAUUUUUUUUUGCAUUGUGACAAUAUUUAUAUAACAGCUAAGCACAUUUCUUGUUCUCAUUAAUGUAAUAAUUAAUUUAGGCUGAUUUCAAUUAAAGCCAGAACUUUUAAAGGCAGUACAACAGAUAUAAACCAUGUAUAAAUUGUUUACAAUUUAAAUAUGUAUUUAUUUAUUUUUCUGCAUUACAGUAGUAAUAUAUAUAUAUAUAUAUAUAUAUAUAUAUAUAUAUAUAUAUAUAUUUUUUUUUUUGCAUUACUGUAAUGCAACAAACGUCAUUAUAAUUACCGCAAUAAUGAUGAAAAUAUCUGGUUUUAAUUGAAAUCAGCCUAAAUUAAAGGUAGUACAACAUAAAAUGAUGUAUAAAUAAUUUACAAUUGAAAUUAUACCCCCUUUUUUUUUUGCAUUUCAGUUAUGAGAUUUGUUUCAUGGAUUACAGUAAUGUAAAUUAGAUUUAGUUUUGUAUUAUUGUUAUCUUUAUAUUUGCAUUACCGGAAUGAAAAUUAUACAAUAUUUUGUGUUAUGGUAAUGAAAAUUAUUUUUUAAUUCCCUUAUUCCCUUUGAACUCUACAUUACAGCAUUAGAGAAAUAAUAUUUUUCAUGCUUGAGUGAAAUUUGUUUGCAUUAAUUUUUUUAUUUUAUUUCACAAUGCACCAAAACAAAUAAAAAUAAUAAUUUAAUAAUGGUACUAAAAGCAGAUUUCAUUUUCAUUAUGCAAAAUUGUAUUUUUUCCUUUUCAUUUUGGGGUUGAAUAUGAAAUUUACAUCAACAUUUCUCAAAUAACAUUUCUGAGUAUUUCUUUACAGCUAUUGUGAUACUCACCCGCCUACAUUUCAAAUGAAGACUAAAAUUCCUGAUAAAGUGGAUGUUGAAAUGACAAGGAUGUAGCAUGGUUUGUCUCUAUUGUUAAUUUGAGUUCUGUCAUUUUAGAAAUGAAACUACAGCGUGACAGUUGUGUCCACUCCUACAGACAUUCUGGAGAAUACCACAUUGACCUGAACUGAUAAAACAAAAUGACUUUUAAUGAGUGUGUGUUUUUACAAUUGUAUUUACUUCAACCAGUCCAAUCUCCUUAAAAUGGACAAAUGUUUUUUUUUUUUAAAACAAUUUAAAAGAAUAUCUUGGCACACUACAUACAGGUAUGUGCAUGCAUUAGUGUACAAGACAGUCCAUUCAUGAAUGGUACCGUGUAUAAUAUACACUCACUGAACACUUUAUUAGGUACCUGUACACCUACUUAUUCAUGCAAUUAUCUAAUCAGCCAAUCGUGUGGCAGCAGUGCAGUGCAUAAAAUCAUGCAGAUGCAGGUCAGAAGCUUCAGUUAAUGUUCACAUCAACCAUCAGAAUGAGGAAAAAAUUAAUCUCAGUGAUAUGGACUGUGGCAUGAUUGUUAGUGCCAGUCGGGCUGGUUUGAGUAUUUCUGUAACUGCUGAUCUCCUGGGAUUUUCACGCAUAACAGUCUUUAACAACAGAGUUUAAUCAGAAUGGUGCCAAAAACAUCCAGUGAGUGGCAGUUCUGUGAAUGGAAAUGCCUUUUAGAUGAGAGAGGUCAACGAAGAAUAGCCAGACUGGUUCGAGCUCACAGAAAGGCUACGGUAACUCAGAUAACCACUCUGUACAAUUGUAGUGAGCAGAAUAGCAUCUCAGAAUGUACAACACAUCGAACCUUGAGGCGGAUGGGCAACAGCAGAAAACCACUUCGUCACUUUAUUAGGACCAUAGUGUUGCUAAUUAAGUUCUCAGUGAGUGUAGAUACAAAUUUGAACAGCAAACUUAUAACCUAAAGUUCUCAUCUUGAUUUUGUCUACUUAAUUCAAAUUGAAAAUGAUCUUUUAAAUAUUUCUGCCUGGUAUUUCUUUGCAAACAUAUACACAGCAUAUUUAGAGACUUUCUGAGUUAAAUGGAACACAGCAUUAGCCUCUAUAAUACAACUACAACACUAUGAGAAGGCACAAAAUGAUUGACAGGCAGAAAGCAUCAGAGACCGCGGCCCACGUACACAUUUUUGUUUGCUGUUUACAGAGUCUAGUGCUGUCACAGAGACAGGUGAGAUAUCUCACAACACAUUUUUUCAUGAAUUUUGUUUGCAUACCUUUCCAUCAAAUAAAAAAAUGGCUUACAGCACCUUUAAGAAAUCAGUAAGUUGAUUUCCCUGAAAAGUGUUAACACAGAGUUUGUUUGAACCUCCCGACCACCACAAACCAUUACAUUGGCUCAACUAAUUGAAAAAUAUUUUUGGGAUGGGACUGUCUGUUUUACAACCAAUGGCAGAUGGUGGAGUGUUUGAGAAACCUGUUUUUAAACAGUUGGUGAAUUACAAUAGUGAUCAUCCCUAUGCCCUACUCACUUCAAAGGACAGAGCCCUUGAAAUGGUAACUGAAGGG